CUGGACUUCAGACGUGAGCUUUUAUCUCAAUUAUUCAUGAAAGGUGAGUUUAAGCCGAACUUAUAUACAAUAAGCUUUCUGAUAUCUUAUAAAUUGAC